UACGUAGGGGGCAAGCGUUGUCCGGAAUCAUUGGGCGUAAAGAGCGUGUAGGCGGCCCGGUAAGUCCGCUGUGAAAGUCCAGGGCUCAACCCUGGGAUGCCGGUGGAUACUGUCGGGCUCGAGUCCGGAAGAGGCGAGUGGAAUUCCUGGUGUAGCGGUGGAAUGCGCAGAUAUCAGGAGGAACACCGAUGGCGAAGGCAGGUCUCUGGGCCAUUACUGACACUGAGAAGCGAAAGCAUGGGGAGCGAACAGG
rnacentral:rRNA from 1 species